rnacentral:rRNA from 1 species
GGCUGAAACUCGCCUACAUGAAGCUGGAGUUACUAGUAAUCGCAGAUCAGAAUGCUGCGGUGAAUGCGUUCCCGGGUCUUGUACACACCGCCCGUCACACCACGGGAGUUGGAGACGCCCGAAGCCGAUUAUCUAACCUUUUGGAAGAAGUCGUCGAAGGUGGAAUCAAUAACUGGGGUGAAGUCGUAACAAGGUAGCCGUAUCGGAAGGUGCGGCUGGAUCACCUCCUUUCUAAGGAGA